rnacentral:lncRNA from 1 species
ACGGUAAUUUGUUUUCUUAAAUCUUAAUGAAGCAGCUUCAUUCUUGAGUCCAUGGUUUUACUAUGAUGAUUUGUAUUUCCUCUGCCUCCAAAACCCAAACACUCAAGACUCAACGGAUCAUAAAUAAAUGAUCCCCUCUUUACUGCACACAAGACUCAAGAGUACUCAUCCAAUUCCACAGUCGAGCCACGUGCAAAGAAGCUGCGUUCCACACCACUCCGCACGUGGCACCAUUCCACAACCGAUGCUCUAAAUCAUCAUUCACCCACUCCUCUCUCCACACAAUCCUCAAUUCCCUCACAAACACCAUAACCAUAAAAUUAUCUCACACAGUCAAAAACACAACAAGUUCAUUCAUUUUUCACUUCACUUGACUAGUCCAAUUAUCUGAUGCCAAAUCAAAACCAUGUCUGACCCAUCCACCACCCCAUUGCCACCACCACCACCACUCUUACCCUCCCCCCACCCCCACCACCACCAUGUUCCACUUAUCCAAGGCGCCGCCGCCACCGCAGCCUCCUCCUCCUCC